GAGGACACAGUCAAAAGUAUCUUCAAAUCCUAAAGUUUGACAAGCUUGGGCGUAAAGGAUGCAAGCUACUGGUCUUCUCUAAUUUGCACAGCGGUAUGAAAGAAUCAGUGUAUUGUCACUGAUGCCGAACAACAAGGAUAUCCACUAAUAGAUGAUGUUAUCAUAAGGAAGGGCUGAUGGCUAAUGUUUUCAAGAAUCAGGCUGAUCUACCAAGGGCUCGUUUGGACAUCAUAUUGCAUACGGACACAAGCAUGACUGUAUUGCUACGGCCAGGAUUACACAUGAAAAAGCAGUGAAUAAACAUAAAUUAAAAAAAUAAAGUUAGAAAAUGAAGAAAGUUGACCA
rnacentral:lncRNA from 1 species